rnacentral:rRNA from 1 species
AUUGAACGCUGGCGGCAGGCCGAACACAUGCAAGUCGAGCGGUCUGCGGACGGGUGAGUAAUGUAUGGGGACUGCCCGAUAGAGGGUGAUAACUACUGGAAACGGUGGCUAAUACCGCAUACUAUCGGAUAACCCAUAUGGGAUUAGCUAGUAGGUGGGGUAAAGGCUCACCUAGGCGACGAUCUCUAGCUGGUCUGAGAGGAUGAUCAGCCACACGUGGACUGAGACACGGCCCAGACUCCUACGGAGGCAGCAGUGGGGAAUAUUGCACAAUGGGCGCAAGCCUGAUGCAGCCAUGCCGCGUGUAUGAAGAAGGCCUUAUGGUUGUAAAGUACUUUCAGCGGGGAGGCGUUACCCGCAGAAGAAGCACCGGCUAACUCCGUGCAAGCCGCCGCGGUAAUAC